rnacentral:lncRNA from 1 species
GUUUACUGGAUUUACUGGAUCUUCUAGAUCCCGUUGGGUCCAUCCCAGGGAAGUCCAGCAGCUUCCUGCUCCAGCUGUCUCUGGGCCGCAAGUCUCCCGUCCAUUCUCUGCUGACCUCCAGGCCGAGCAGCUGACGGGCGCCGUGGGUGAAUCCGUCACGUCUCCGGUGGUCUCAGUGGCAGAGAGGAAACGGCGUGUACUUGAAGUCGGACACACCUCACCUUUCCUUCCACUUUCCACUUGAGGUUUCCUCCUGGAGCAUCCUGACUCAUGCCGCCCCCCUCCUAUAGCCCCCCAUCCUCUGGGAGCAGCCGUGAGGC